rnacentral:misc_RNA from 1 species
AGUCGUAACAAGGUAUCCGUAGGUGAACCUGCGGAUGGAUCAUUACCAAAGUGACCCAUCCCACCAUAUGUGAACUGGUCUUACACGGUUGGCACUGGGCCUGUAAUGGUUUGAGGCUGUAGUGAUGCUCUCACUACGUGUUACUCUCACUACGGGCCCCUAUUCAACGUGCCAGCCGUACUCUUAUACGUAUGCUCAAGUUGAACUGAAGUGACUACAAAGAACCUAAAGAAAACUUUUAGCAAUGGAUCUCUAGGCUCUU